GGGUUGUGAGGUUAAGCGACUAAGCGUACACGGUGGAUGCCCUGGCAGUCAGAGGCGAUGAAGGACGUGCUAAUCUGCGAUAAGCGCCGGUAAGGUGAUAUGAACCGUUAUAACCGGCGAUUUCCGAAUGGGGAAACCCAGUGUGACUCGUCACACUAUCAUUAACUGAAUCCAUAGGUUAAUGAGGCGAACCGGGGGAACUGAAACAUCUAAGUACCCCGAGGAAAAGAAAUCAACCGAGAUUCCCCCAGUAGCGGCGAGCGAACGGGGAGGAGCCCAGAGCCUGAAUCAGCAUGUGUGUUAGUGGAAGCGUCUGGAAAGGCGCGCGAUACAGGGUGACAGCCCCGUACACAAAAGCGCAUGUGCUGUGAGCUCGAUGAGUAGGGCGGGACACGUGGUAUCCUGUCUGAAUAUGGGGGGACCAUCCUCCAAGGCUAAAUACUCCUGACUGACCGAUAGUGAACCAGUACCGUGAGGGAAAGGCGAAAAGAACCCCGGCGAGGGGAGUGAAAAAGAACCUGAAACCGUGUACGUACAAGCAGUGGGAGCACAGGUUUACCUGUGUGACUGCGUACCUUUUGUAUAAUGGGUCAGCGACUUAUAUUCUGUAGCAAGGUUAACCGAAUAGGGGAGCCGGAGGGAAACCGAGUCUUAAUUGGGCGUUAAGUUGCAGGGUAUAGACCCGAAACCCGGUGAUCUAGCCAUGGGCAGGUUGAAGGUUGGGUAACACUAACUGGAGGACCGAACCGACUAAUGUUGAAAAAUUAGCGGAUGACCUGUGGCUGGGGGUGAAAGGCCAAUCAAACCGGGAGAUAGCUGGUUCUCCCCGAAAGCUAUUUAGGUAGCGCCUCGUGAACUCAUCUCCGGGGGUAGAGCACUGUUUCGGCUAGGGGGCCAUCCCGGCUUACCAACCCGAUGCAAACUGCGAAUACCGGAGAAUGUUAUCACGGGAGACACACGGCGGGUGCUAACGUCCGUCGUGAAGAGGGAAACAACCCAGACCGCCAGCUAAGGUCCCAAAGUCAUGGUUAAGUGGGAAACGAUGUGGGAAGGCCCAGACAGCCAGGAUGUUGGCUUAGAAGCAGCCAUCAUUUAAAGAAAGCGUAAUAGCUCACUGGUCGAGUCGGCCUGCGCGGAAGAUGUAACGGGGCUAAACCAUGCACCGAAGCUGCGGCAGCGACACUCAGGUGUUGUUGGGUAGGGGAGCGUUCUGUAAGCCUGUGAAGGUGGCCUGUGAGGGUUGCUGGAGGUAUCAGAAGUGCGAAUGCUGACAUAAGUAACGAUAAAGCGGGUGAAAAGCCCGCUCGCCGGAAGACCAAGGGUUCCUGUCCAACGUUAAUCGGGGCAGGGUGAGUCGACCCCUAAGGCGAGGCCGAAAGGCGUAGUCGAUGGGAAACGGGUUAAUAUUCCCGUACUUGGUGUUACUGCGAAGGGGGGACGGAGAAGGCUAUGUUGGCCGGGCGACGGUUGUCCCGGUUUAAGCGUGUAGGUGUGUGUUCCAGGUAAAUCCGGUUCACUUUAACACUGAGGCGUGA
rnacentral:rRNA from 1 species